GCCAGCCUUCGGAGCAGCCUUCCGAAGGCUGGCGACGGGAGGAGGUCCAAGGACAGUGGGGAAGACGCGCUGCGCUUCCCCGCUGUCCCGGAGAUUUCCCUAUGGGCUUUCGUCUUGCGAAGGAAGCCCAUAGGGAAAUUCGUUUUGCGAAGCGCCUCCAAAACGGAAAACCCUUUCGUCUAGCGGGUUUUCCGUCUUGCGAGGCGUUCGUCUUGCGGGGCACCACUGUAUUUCUUU